CGGUUGAUCCUGCCAGAGGCCGCUGCUAUCCGGCUGGGACUAAGCCAUGCUAGUCUAGGGGCUUGUACUCCUUCGGGGGUGCAAGCACCGGCGGACGGCUCAGUAACACGUGGACAACCUGCCCUCGGGUGGGGGAUAACCCCGGGAAACUGGGGCUAAUCCCCCAUAGGUGAUGGGUGCUGGAAUGCCCCAUCUCCGAAAGCGCUUAGCGCCCGAGGAUGGGUCUGCGGCGGAUUAGGUAGUUGGUGGGGUAACGGCCCACCAAGCCUAAGAUCCGUACGGGCUGUGGGAGCAGGAGCCCGGAGAUGGACCCUGAGACAAGGGUCCAGGCCCUACGGGGCGCAGCAGGCGCGAAACCUCCGCAAUGCGGGAAACCGCGACGGGGUUAGCCGGAGUGCCCGUGCAUUGCACGGGCUGUCGGGGUGCCUAAACAGCACCCCAUAGCAAGGGCCGGGCAAGGCCGGUGGCAGCCGCCGCGGUAAGACCGGCGGCCCGAGUGGCGGCCACUCUUAUUGGGCCUAAAGCGUCCGUAGCCGGCCCAGUAAGUCCCCCGGGAAAUCUGGUCGCUUAACGAUCAGACUUCCGGGGGAUA
rnacentral:rRNA from 1 species